CUCCCUAGUUUGUGUCUUUCCUUCCUUCUGUGGCAACAUGUAGUUAGUUGUCCUGAUAACUGUCAGGUGUGCUGCAGUUCCAACCAAUCACGGUGGGAGACCGUGUGUAAAGCCCCUGUCAGGCUUCUGCUUGCUGGAGGCUGGGUCGCGUCACUCCUGUGCUUCCUCCAUGUCCGCGUCCGUGUGGUGACAGGUUCGCUUGGGUGUUGCUGCUGGCUGCGCGCUGUUCACCGCUCCGUGUGCCACUCACUGUCUGCCGCUGGUCGCUCUCGGGGAGCGUCGAUCCCUCUGUUCCACGCUGUGUUGGCCGGGAUUGCCUGACCGGGUGCUGAGCCUACAGUGGUGGAUUGGUGUCCUGGUCACGGUGUCCCCUUUGUAUUGUGUUUGCACUUAACUUCUUUGUUUUGUUUACUUUUAUUUGCUUCACGUGUGGUGUUCCUGGGAUCCUCUUUCCCUUUGGAUACGGUUUCUCAAGGUAGGUCUCAGCACUGAUUGGCUCCCCUUAUGUCCCCUUAAGUGAGUCAUUUUUACAUUAUUUUUAAAACAGAAAUUUAUGUAAUUGUUGCCAGACAAUGCCACCUUGGGAAUUUCACCCAGGGAUUUCUUAUAAGUGGACUAACCCAAAUGAAGGAAGGCACUGAGGUCUGUUAUGCAACGAGACAGACGGCAGUUCGAUAAUACCAAAUACUUUUAUUUAUACAAAUUUCUGUUUUAAAAAUAAUGUAAGAUAUUACUCACUUAAGGGGAGCCAAUCAGUAUAAAAGUAAAAGUAAAAAAACCAAAGAAGCUACCAACUAACACAAUACAAAGGGGACACCGUGACCAGGACUUUGCCCCCGGAGAUGUUCGUCGUAGAUGAUUCUGCACUUCGUGGACUCGUGGAUCACUGGGAGAGUUGUGCAAGCAGUUCCAGAUCAAAGAGGACUUGUGUGCCAGAUUUGUAUCAAAACAAGGACUGGGUUUUUGGAUAGACCCAUCACGAAGGUUUGUCUUCAAGAGGCAGAAGAGCCAUGAAGACUUGCAGAUUUUAAAAGAACUAACAUACGUGGACUUGGACUAUUUUGUAGGUUGGAUUGAUUAUUUAGACUAUACAGUAGAUUUCCUGGUUGUUAGAAAUAUGAGAUGUUUUUCUUUUCUGACAUUUAGCAUUUUGUCUCCCACAUAUUAGCAGUUAUGUAAUUAUUGCUUCAGCAUAAUUAGGGGCCGGAAUGUAGGAGUCAUACAUGUAAGUUAGACCUAAGUGUUGAGUUAAUGCUGGAAUUGGUGCACAUGGGUGAUGGAUGUGUCACUACCGCGAGUAUGGAGGAAUAAAUCACUGCUGUCCCCAGUUCACUGGUUGCUGGUUGUCAGUCAUGACGUAGGGUGAGCACGGUGGAGCGGUGAAAUCUUUUGUUGUCCGCAUCAAUGCGUGUUUUGUUUGCUGUGUGUAUUAUUUCUCUCUUUGCUGAAAAGCCACGAGUGUCGUGCAGAGUUUGGCGUGAUGAAUAAAGAGUGGUAGAGCCACAGAGACACGCCUUCGUGUGCGCGUCAUCACUUA